rnacentral:rRNA from 1 species
ACGGGUGAGUAAUAUAUCGGAACGUGCCCAAUCGUGGGGGAUAACGUAGAGAAAUUUACGCUAAUACCGCAUACGAUCUAAGGAUGAAAGCGGGGGACCGUAAGGCCUCGCGCGAUUGGAGCGGCUGAUAUCAGAUUAGGUUGUUGGUGAGGUAAAAGCUCACCAAGCCGACGAUCUGUAGCUGGUUUGAGAGAACGACCAGCCACACUGGGACUGAGACACGGCCCAAGACUCCUACGGGAGGCAGCAGUGGGGAAUUUUGGACAAUGGGCGAAAGCCUGAUCCAGCAAUGCCGCGUGCAGGAAGAAGGCCUUCGGGUUGUAAACUGCUUUUGUACGGAACGAAAAAGCUCUUUCUAAUAAAGAGGGCUCAUGACGGUACCGUAAGAAUAAGCACCGGCUAACUACGUGCCAGCAGCCGCGGUAAUACGUAGGGUGCGAGCGUUAAUCGGAAUUACUGGGCGUAAAGCGUGCGCAGGCGGUUAUAUAAGACAGUUGUGAAAUCCCCGGGCUCAACCUGGGAAUUGCAUCUGCGACUGUAUAGCUAGAGUACGGUAGAGGGGGAUGGAAUUCCGCGUGUAGCAGUGAAA